GGGAAUAAUAGUGAGAAAUCAUUGCUAAUACCGCAUAUGCUAACAGUAUCGCAUGAUACAGUUAGGAAAGGAGCAAUCCGCUGAUAGAUGGGCUUGCGUCUGAUUAGCUAGUUGGUGGGGUAACGGCCUACCAAGGCGACGAUCAGUAGCCGGACUGAGAGGUUGAACGGCCACAUUGGGACUGAGAUACGGCCCAGACUCCUACGGGAGGCAGCAGUCGGGAAUAUUGCGCAAUGGAGGAAACUCUGACGCAGUGACGCCGCGUAUAGGAAGUAGGUUUUCGGAUUGUAAACUAUUGUCGUUAGGGAAGAUACAGACAGUACCUAAGGAGGAAGCCCCGGCUAACUAUGUGCCAGCAGCCGCGGUAAUACAUAGGGGGCAAGCGUUAUCCGGAAUUAUUGGGUGUAAAGGGUGCGUAGACGGAGAAACAAGUUGGUUGUGAAAUCCCUCGGCUCAACUGAGGAACUGCAACCAAAACUAUUUCCCUUGAGUAUCGGAGAGGAAAGUGGAAUUCCUAGUGUAGCGGUGAAAUGCGUAGAUAUUAGGAGGAACACCAGUGGCGAAGGCGACUUUCUGGACGAUAACUGACGUUGAGGCACGAAAGUGUGGGGAGCAAACAGGAUUAGAUACCCUGGUAGUCCACACUGUAAACG
rnacentral:rRNA from 1 species